GGCGUGAGGCUCGCUCGGUCCGUGCCCAUGGUUGUGGCGCGCGCCCCCACGUCGUCCGCAUCAGGUGCUAGAGCUACUACCAGGGACGCAGCGGGUCAGCGCUGGUGUCUUGGAUAACCUGACCCCAACCCAGUAGAGGUUAAACCAUAUCACUCUUUGUCGAGCUUCGUCCCUAGGUGCUAGCUAAUCAGUACUAGAUACACAAGCUAAUCUAUGCAUCAUGUGCUAGUUCUUUGGGCGAUGCUCUUUUUUUGUUAUCUGGUAAUGCUGUACUAGUACGCAUAAAGUUCAGAAUUUGCUAGCCCCAUGUGAUUCAGUGCAAAUUUUGAUUGCAAUUGUUUGGGAUACACUGAUUUCAGAGAGAAUAGGAAAUUUUGGAGUCUAUGGCAUGUAGCCCCAUUUGUCAUUGACUAACCAAACGAACAAAUUUUUGUCCAAAUGGGUCUGCCCGUUGAGUGCAGACUCUUGUGCGGGACAACCCAUUAUAAUUAAUUUUCAGUUGAAUAACUCCCCACUGUAAACGUUACUGAAAUUAUUAAUAUAUACUAGCAGCGUGCUUUAUUUUUGUUGACCUGAAUAUUAUGUUUGACUCUAAACUUGUACUUUAUCAACUAACGGUCACUAUAAUUCCUCACACAAACAGAUUAUCUUAUAAGAUAACCUGGACACCGUACAAUUGUAAUUAAGCACCCGCAUAGAUGACUUCAUUGUCAAAAAAUCUGGUUCAUUUACUGUCACUAGCCCACCGACAAUCACCAGAACUACCAUAAUUUAGCUUAUAAAUCAUUUCUUCAUGCACCUCCACACACAUCUAUUUACUGGCAGUUCCAGCAGAAAUGUGAGUGUUACACAUUGUAUAUUUGUUGAUAAUUAUCUCCCAAGUAAAGAGUACUUUUAAUUGAUCCACGAUUUUCAUUUCGGCAGGUCAUGGAUCAUACAUGGGUACCCUAGAUUAGUAGACAUACUUGGAAUUUUUAUCAGGAACUGUUAACUGGAAACCACUCAAUGAAUCACUAGCUUUGCUCUUGUAUAAUCAGGUGAAUAAUGCAGACCAACAUUACAGAAUGCAUCACGGCAUGGAUUUCUCAUUGGAGCUGUCAUCUUGAGCCAUAAUUUGCGGUAAAUUUAUCCCUUUCGCAUCAUAUUUAGCUUACCCUAGCACUAUAACCCAGUUAGUUAGGAAAUUAGACCACACUAAUUAUUAACAUUACCAACUAUAAUCCAUCAUCUAAUCACAUUUAGCUGCCGUGGCAGUAAUGGAUUACUCAAACAUGGUGUCUAUCUGAAAUCUAUUUGUCAAACUGGGCUUUACCAUUAAACUCUUGUUGGCUGGUGAGUUCCACUACAUUAUAAUUUUAGAUAUUACCAAUUAAUCAGUACACAAAUGCAUUCUAUUCAUGUUACUAAUGCACACAUACCUUCCCACAAAUCAAAACUAAUUUAGACUGUAAAACACUUCUCCAUGUUGUUCCACACUCCUCUACUUCUACUUGAUGGCUUUUCCAAUUUUGCUUUUCAAAUGCCUAACAAAAUAUUUCAUGUCAUGGACCCUACCGCUGGAUCUCGCAGAUUAAACGCAACAAAGAAGCUAGAACUAACUGCAGAUUUAAUCCAAAAGGAAUUAUUUGAAUGCAUCCAGAAAUAUUUCGCUGACUGGCCAGUCGAUGAAUUCAACUGGUCAAAGCAAUUCCCUAUACGAAUACACUCAUUACAAGAGAUUAUCAUUUUACGCUGCUUGAACUUGCCUCCCUAUUUCCUAUGCAAAUAUUAUAGUAACAAGAAUAUUCGUGAUGGCACUACUGUAUUCAACUCUUUUUUUACAGUGAUGAACCCGAUAUCUGCGCAUCUUUCUUUGUGAAAAAACUUUGGUGUCCAAGACUUGAAAUUACCAGUUUGCAAGGUAUUACCUUGAUAUGAUUUCUAUGGUUAUAAUUUUCGUUUAUAUAUUUACCCAGCCUGAAUAUGUUCACUGCUAGACAAUCUCAUUUAAAUUAAAGGCAUCCCUGUUCAACUGUUGCAAGUCUGCAGUUACAACUGAAUAUUGACUAUAAACUAGUACUGGCAUGUCAACAACCUAGUGAGGCCCUAAACUGUUUGAAUCAAGAUCUUGGAAAUGUGCUAUCCCUAGCAGGGCAUGCUGCAUUCACUAAUUACAGUAGGCAUGCUGCGUUCACCCUGCGAUCAUGAACGAGUGUUUCGACACCGACAGCACAUUCCGCGAGGGCAACCACAUCAGGCACACGACAAGGUUUAACCGUUUCGUCAGCUUGGCUGCUCUCUGUGUAAAGGUGUUACCGUGUUGAGUACAUAACUGUAAUUCCAUUCUACAAGCCAUCAAAUAUAUAUGUCACCUAAAUUGGUGAGUGCACUGUCUACAAAAAGGUCAAGGUCUGCAGAGCGGCUUGGGGCGCAUCGUGCAGAGGGGCACCGUGCACGGUAGCCCGCUGCAGCUGUGCGGUUGGCCGAGAGCAGCAGGUGCUCAAGCAGGUGGUCGAGAGCAGCAGGUGAUCGACUCAGGCCUUGGAUUCAGUUGGGCUUUCUGUUUAGGGACACAAUGAGCGGGAGCUCGUACCGAAUUCAGUUUCGUAGCGCUAGAGGUGAGCAGCAGGUGGCCAGAGGCAGGAGCCGGUGGAUUGCCGCAACAGAUCAAGCCCCCUCUGGUGAGCUUGAGCUCUUGAUCCUGGCGACCACCUGAUGGCAAUUCUGCUCGUCAGCAUCGCCCAGCUUGUUGUAGCAUGCCUCAGGAUAUGAUCAUGUCCCAAGCCCCUCUAUGGGAAAGUUAGUUUGCCUCCUAGAU